UAGAGUUCUGGGCCGCACGCGCGCUACACUGACAGAGCCAACGAGUUCUUCACCUUGGCCGAAAGGUCUGGGUAAUCUUGUUAAACUCUGUCGUGCUGGGGAUAGAGCAUUGCAAUUAUUGCUCUUCAACGAGGAAUGCCUAGUAAGCGCGUGUCAUCAGCAUGCGUUGAUUACGUCCCUGACCUUUGUACACACCGCCCGUCGCUACUACCGAUUGAAUGGCUCAGUGAGGCGUUCGGACUGGCUCGGGGAGGUUGGCAACGACCACCCCAAGCCGGAAAGUUCGUCAAACUCGGUCAUUUAGAGGAAGUAAAAGUCGUAACAAGGUCUCCGUAGGUGAACCUGCGGAGGGAUCAUUACACAAAUGAAAAUAUGAAGGCCCUUCAAACCGGCUGGAUUAUUUUUCUUCACCCUUGUCUUUUGCGCACUUGUUGUUUCCUGGGCGGGUUCGCUCGCCACCAGGACCACACCAUAAACCUUUUUGUUAAUGCAAUCAGCGUCAGUAAAAAGUAAUAAUUAUUUUACAACUUUCAACAACGGAUCUCUUGGUUCUGGCAUCGAUGAAGAACGCAGCGAAAUGCGAUACGUAGUGUGAAUUGCAGAAUUCAGUGAAUCAUCGAAUCUUUGAACGCACAUUGCGCCCUUUGGUAUUCCAAAGGGCAUGCCUGUUCGAGCGUCAUUUGUACCCUCAAGCUUUGCUUGGUGUUGGGCGUUGUUUGUCUUUGGCCUUGCCCAAAGACUCCCUUAAAACAAUUGGCAGCCGGCCUACUGGUUUCCAGCGCAACACAUUUUUGCGCUUGCAAUCAGCAAAAGAGGGUGGGCCAUCCCUUCAAGACUACCUUUUAUACCUUUUGGACCUCCCGAAUCAAGGUAAGGGGAUACCCCCCCUUGAACUUUUAAGCCAUUAUUCCAAUUAAAACCGGGAGGGGAAAAAAAAAAAACCCCACCCGGGGGGAUUUGGCCCCUAAAUAAACCCGGCCAAAUUGGGAAAACCGGCCAAACAGCCUCCAAAAAUUUUGAAAAAACCUGGGGCUCCUUUUUUAAAAAUCCCCCAAAUUGGUAAAUUUUUCCAAAAAAGGGGGGCCUU
rnacentral:rRNA from 1 species